CUUUAGCCCCGAUAGCAGUGAAAAUCCUUAUAAGCCGGGGUUCGGCUUAUAAGAUUGCAACGAAUAGCGGGACCAAUG
rfam:Flavobacterium sp. A45 NODE_12_length_87776_cov_15.4856_ID_23, whole genome shotgun sequence.